rnacentral:lncRNA from 1 species
UUCAGCCACUGAUUUCCCUUUAGAGACUACCAACAAAUUACUUCAAAUUAUGGUGGUGAAUGCAGAAGAAACGCCAAGGAAUGUACAUUGGUUGGCAAUGUUCUGUGGAGUCACUUGUGGAAUAUGAGAAGCCGAUUUGCAGAGUUGUUCCUAGUCAUCACCCUUCUUUCUUAGCAGCGAUGGUCCUACAGAACUGGACUCCUUUGAAGUAA